rnacentral:rRNA from 1 species
UACGGGGGGGGCAAGCGUUGUUCGGAAUUACUGGGCGUAAAGGGCUCGUAGGCGGCCAACUAAGUCGGAUGUGAAAUCCCCAGGCUUAACCUGGGAACUGCAUCCGAUACUGGAUGGCUUGAAUCCGGGAGAGGGAUGCGGAAUUCCAGGUGUAGCGGUGAAAUGCGUAGAUAUCAGGAGGAACACCAAUUGCGAAGGCAGCUCGCUGGGACGUUACUGACGCUGAGACGCGAAAGCGUGGGGAGCAAACAGG